CUGGCAAGGCACAGGACAGCAAAUCAUUUCAAACGCUGCAUGAAAAGAUGAUGCUAUUUUUGACAUCCCCAAGAAAAGAAAACACAUUUCAACACUCGUCACUGUACAGUUGGCACAGCUAUUGCUUUUGAUUGAGGUUUGAUGAAUUAGUUGCAGUUUCAAAAUCUGACAAAGAUUAACCACAUAAUCUCUCAGCAAGGAGGAUGUUGCCGUCACCUGGGAUCAUAAGUUUUAGGUGAUCAACUGAAAUUUGUGCCAAGACAUAAUCCAAGGAGAGAGAGAUCGGAGAGUAAAGGUCAUGAGAGUUCAACACUUCAACUGAAGAUCAAUUCACAGCUCAGUCACCCCUGCGAGGCAUUUGACUGAAACACGUGCUGUGCUUUCUUGCAAAUAGC